UGAGCAAUCUGCCCUUCUCAUCGGAAUAAGCGUUGGAAACGACGUCUAAUGCCGAAUACGACCUCCUUUCGCAUGAUCGGAGGUGGAAAGCUCCGGCGGAGAAGGAUGAGCUCGCGGCCUAUCAGCUAGUUGGUGUGGGUAAUGGCCCACCAAGGCGACGACGGGUAGCCGACCUGAGAGGGUGAUCGGCCACAUUGGAACUGAGACACGGUCCAGACUCCGUAGGGAGG
rnacentral:rRNA from 1 species